rnacentral:rRNA from 1 species
GAUGAACGCUGACAGAAUGCUUAACACAUGCAAGUCUUUGGCGAAGCUGUGCUUGCACCGCCUAGCCAAGGCGGACGGGUGAGUAACGCGUAAGGAACUUGCCCUGCAGUCAGGGAUAACAGACGGAAACGACUGAUAAGACCUGGUAAAGUCAGGCGGACUCAUGUCCAGCCUGAUGAAAAGAGAUGCUGCAGGAGAGCCUUGCGUCCUAUUAGCUUGUUGGUGGGGUAACGGCCCACCAAGGCGAUGAUAGGUAGCCGGCCUGAGAGGGUGGACGGCCACAAGGGGAAUGAGAUACGGCCCUUACUACUACGGGAGGCAGCAGUGGAGAAUAUUGGACAAUGGGGGCAACCCUGAUCCAGCAAUUCUGUGUGCACGAUGAAGGUUUUCGGAUUGUAAAGUGCUUUCAGCAGGGAAGAAAAAAAUGACGGUACCUGCAGAAGAAGCGACGGCUAAAUACGUG